rnacentral:lncRNA from 1 species
GCGCCUUCUGGGACCUUCUGGGGAUCUUCUUGGGACCUUUGGGGACCUUCUGGGACCUUUGGGGAUCUUCUGGGACCUCUUGGGACCUUCUGGGGACCUUCUGGGACCUUUGGGGAUCUUCUGGGAUCUUCUGGAACCUCUUGGGAACCUUCUGGGGAUCUUCUGGGACC